rnacentral:rRNA from 1 species
GAUGAACGCUAGCGGCAGGCCUAAUACAUGCAAGUCGAGGGGCAGCAUAGUAGCAAUACUGAUGGCGACCGGGUGAGUAACACGUGACUAACCUACCCUCGAGUGGGGGAUAACUCCGGGAAACCGGAGCUAAUACCGCAUAACAUCGCAGGAUCAAAGCAGAAAUGCGCUUGAGGAGGGGGUCGCGGCUGAUUAGCUAGUUGGUAGGGUAAUGGCCUACCAAGGCNGAGAUCGGUAGCCGGCCUGAGAGGGCGCACGGCCACACUGGAACUGAAACACGGUCCAGACUCCUACGGGAGGCAGCAGUGGGGAAUUUUGCGCAAUGGGGGAAACCCUGACGCAGCAACGCCGCGUGGAGGAUGAAGUCCUUUGGGACGUAACUCCUUUCGACCGGGACGAUAAUGACGGUACCGGUGGAAGAAGCACCGGCUAACUCUGUGCCAGCAGCCGCAAGU